AUUGAACGCUGGCGGCAGGCCUAACACAUGCAAGUCGAACGAGUGGCGGACGGGUGAGUAAUGUCUGGGAAACUGCCUGAUGGAGGGGGAUAACUACUGGAAACGGUAGCUAAUACCGCAUACCAUCAGAUGUGCCCAGAUGGGAUUAGAUAGUUGGUGGGGUAAAGGCUCCCCAAGGCGAGGAUACAUAGCUGGUCUGAGAGGAUGACCAGCCACACGGGGACGGAUACACGGUCCAGACGCCUACGGUAGGCAGCAGUGGGGAAUAUUUCACAAUGGGGGCAAGCCUGAUGCAGCCAUGCCGCGUGUAUGAAGAAGGCCUUCGGGUUGUAAAGUACUUUCAGCGGGGAGGCGUUACCCGCAGAAGAAGCACCGGCUAACUCCGUGCCAGCCGCCGCGGUAAUAC
rnacentral:rRNA from 1 species